CCGAGUUAUACUCCAAACCCUUUGUGAACCUACCAUUUGUUGCUCGGCGCGCGGCGGUUAGGCCAACCCGCGACGCGCCAGAGGACCCAAACUCUUAUCUUAUAGCGUACCUUCUGAUUAAAAAGACAAACAGUCA
rnacentral:misc_RNA from 1 species